rnacentral:rRNA from 1 species
GAUUGUUCACCCACCAAUAGGGAACGUGAGCUGGGUUUAGACCAUCGUGAGACAGGUUAGUUUUACCGUACUGAUUACAGUGUCGUAAUAGUAAUUCAACCUACUACAAAAGGAACCAUUGAUUCACAUAAUUGGUCAUCGCGUUUGGUUGAAAAGCCAGUGGCGUGAAGCUACCAUGCACUGGAUUAUGACUGAACGCCUCUAAGUUAGAAUCUGGGCUAGAAGCGAUGCAUACGCCUAUCGCCUGCUUGCCGAUCCGCAGUAGGGGUCGUCUGGCCCCCAAAGGCACGUGUCGUUGGUGAAGCCUACGCAGGAAAUGAGCCGCACAGACUGCCUUGAAAUACAAUUCCUAUCUUGAGCGGCGGGUAGAAUCCUUUGCAGAUGACUUAAAUACACAAUGGGGUAUUGUAUGUGGCAGAGUGGCCUUGUUGCCACAAUCCACUAAGAU